UGGGGCGUGGUGCAAGGGCAGCACACCAGACUUUGGAUCUGUUGAUCUUGGUUCGAAUCCAGGCGCCCCAGCCA
rnacentral:tRNA from 2 species